CCUACCAUGCAGUCGAGCGGUAGAGAGAAGCUUGCUUCUCUUGAGAGCGGCGGACGGGUGAGUAAUGCCUAGGAAUCUGCCUGGUAGUGGGGGAUAACGCUCGGAAACGGACGCUAAUACCGCAUACGUCCUACGGGAGAAAGCAGGGGACCUUCGGGCCUUGCGCUAUCAGAUGAGCCUAGGUCGGAUUAGCUAGUAGGUGAGGUAAUGGCUCACCAAGGCGACGAUCCGUAACUGGUCUGAGAGGAUGAUCAGUCACACUGGAACUGAGACACGGUCCAGACUCCUACGGGAGGCAGCAGUGGGGAAUAUUGGACAAUGGGCGAAAGCCUGAUCCAGCCAUGCCGCGUGUGUGAAGAAGGUCUUCGGAUUGUAAAGCACUUUAAGUUGGGAGGAAGGGCAUUAACCUAAUACGUUAGUGUUUUGACGUUACCGACAGAAUAAGCACCGGCUAACUCUGUGCCAGCAGCCGCGGUAAUACAGAGGGUGCAAGCGUUAAUCGGAAUUACUGGGCGUAAAGCGCGCGUAGGUGGUUCGUUAAGUUGGAUGUGAAAGCCCCGGGCUCAACCUGGGAACUGCAUUCAAAACUGUCGAGCUAGAGUAUGGUAGAGGGUGGUGGAAUUUCCUGUGUAGCGGUGAAAUGCGUAGAUAUAGGAAGGAACACCAGUGGCGAAGGCGACCACCUGGACUGAUACUGACACUAAGGUGCGAAAGCGUGGGGAGCAAAACAGGAUUAGAUACCCUGGGUAGUCCACCCCGUAAACGAUGUCAACUAGCCCUUUGGGAGCCUUUGACCUCUUAGUGGGCCCAGCUAACGCAUUAAGUUGACCCCCUUGGGGAGUACGGCCCCAAGGUU
rnacentral:rRNA from 1 species